AACGCACGAGACCUGCGGACCUGCGGAAGGAUCAUUACAGAGUUCAUGCCCUCCGGGUAGAUCUCCCACCCACUGCUAUCACUACUCUCGUUGCUUUGGCGGGCCGCUGGGCCCUGCCCGGCCGCCGGCCCCGGCUGGCGCGUGCCCGCCAGAGACCUCACAGACUCUGAAUGUUAGUGUCGUCCGAGUAACUAUACAAUCGUUAAAACUUUCAACAAUGGAUCUCUAGAUCGGAAGAGC
rnacentral:misc_RNA from 1 species